rnacentral:rRNA from 1 species
CGGCAUGCCUUACACAUGCAAGUCGAACGGUAACGCGGGGCAACCUGGCGACGAGUGGCGAACGGGUGAGUAAUAUAUCGGAACGUGCCCAAUAGUGGGGGAUAGCCCGGCGAAAGCCGGAUUAAUACCGCAUGAGACCUGAGGGUGAAAGCGGGGGAUCGCAAGACCUCGCGCUAUUGGAGCGGCCGAUAUCAGAUUAGGUAGUUGGUGGGGUAAAAAGCCUACCAAGCCGACGAUCUGUAGCUGGUCUGAGAGGACGACCAGCCACACUGGGACUGAGACACGGCCCAGACUCCUACGGGAGGCAGCAGUGGGGAAUUUUGGACAAUGGGCGCAAGCCUGAUCCAGCAAUGCCGCGUGCAGGAAGAAGGCCUUCGGGUUGUAAACUGCUUUUGUACGGAACGAAAAGGUCUGGGUUAAUACCCCUGGGCUCAUGACGGUACCGUAAGAAUAAGCACCGGCUAACUACGUG